GAGACUCUGUGCGCGUGCAUAUCAAUAAGCGGAGGAAAAGAAACUAACAAGGAUUCCCUUAGUAACGGCGAGUGAAGCGGGAAGAGCUCAAAUCUGAAAUCUUCAAGGUUCUACCUUGACGAAUUGUAGUUUAUAGAAGUGUUUUCUGUUAGUGGAGUGGCAAAAGUUCUUUGGAAUAGGACAUCAUAGAGGGUGAGAAUCCCGUAUUUGGUCAUUCCUCCUAGCGUUGUGAUACACUUUCAACGAGUCGGAUUGUUUGGGAAUGCAGUCCAAAAUGGGUGGUAAAUUUCAUCUAAAGCUAAAUAUUGGCGAGAGACCGAUAGCGAACAAGUACCGUGAGGGAAAGAUGAAAAGAACUUUGAAAAGAGAGUUAAACAGUACGUGAAAUUGUCAAAAGGGAAGCGUUUGACACCAGUGUUGUUUUUCCGAAAAUCAAUUACGAAUGUUUUGUUUUUAAGAAGUUAUGACUUCAUCGGCUUGCUUCUUCCUUUACGAAACUUUCUUAAUGCACUUUCCGGUUAACAAGUCAACAUCAAUUUCUUUUGUUGUAAAAGGGUAUGAGGAAGGUGGCUUUCUUUUCGGAGAAAGUGUUUAUAGCCUCGUGCCUCUGCAAUCGGAGAGGUUGAGGUCUGCAGCGUAGAUCCUUCGGGGUUAGAUACGUUUGUGCUAAGUUAUAGCUUUUCAUAGACAACUUGUUGACUAUGUUUAGUCUUGUAGCUUACUCGCUGAUGCUAUUUUACCUACGCUUAGGAUGUUGAAGAUGUAGCACAUCAU
rnacentral:rRNA from 1 species